rnacentral:rRNA from 1 species
GAUGAACGCUGGCGGCGUGCCUAAUACAUGCAAGUCGAGCGAACAGACGAGGAGCUUGCUCCUCUGACGUUAGCGGCGGACGGGUGAGUAACACGUGGAUAACCUACCUAUAAGACUGGGAUAACUUCGGGAAACCGGAGCUAAUACCGGAUAAUAUAUUGAACCGCAUGGUUCAAUAGUGAAAGACGGUUUUGCUGUCACUUAUAGAUGGAUCCGCGCCGCAUUAGCUAGUUGGUAAGGUAACGGCUUACCAAGGCAACGAUGCGUAGCCGACCUGAGAGGGUGAUCGGCCACACUGGAACUGAGACACGGUCCAGACUCCUACGGGAGGCAGCAGUAGGGAAUCUUCCGCAAUGGGCGAAAGCCUGACGGAGCAACGCCGCGUGAGUGAUGAAGGUCUUCGGAUCGUAAAACUCUGUUAUUAGUGAAGAACAAAUGUGUAAGUAACUAUGCACGUCUUGACGGUACCGAAUCAGAAAGCCACGGCUAACUACGUG